CGCGUAGGUGGUUCAUCAAGUCAGAUGUUAAAUUUCCCGGCUUAACUGGGAAUGGUCAUCUGAUACUGCUGGACUUGAGGGUGGUAGAGGGAGGUGGAAUUCCCGGUGUAGUGGUGAAAUGCGUAGAUAUCGGGAGGAACACCAGUGGCGAAAGCGGCCUCCUAGGCCAUUCCUGACACUGAGGCGCGAAAGCGUGGGGAGCGAACAGGAUCAGAUACCCUGGUAGUCCACGCCCUAAACUGUGGAAACUAGGUACAGGGAGUAUCGACCCUUCCUGCGCCGUAGCUAACGCGUUAAGUUUCCCGCCUGGGGACUACGGUCGCAAGACUAAA
rnacentral:rRNA from 1 species